rnacentral:rRNA from 1 species
AGGACGAACGCUGGCGGCGUGCCUAACACAUGCAAGUCGAGCGAGGAGAUUCCUUCGGGAUGAUCCUAGCGGCGGACGGGUGAGUAACACGUGGGCAACCUGCCUCAUAGAGAGGAAUAGCCUUCCGAAAGGGAGAUUAAUACCUCAUAACAUUGCAGUUACGCAUGGAACAGCAAUUAAAGGAGUAAUCCGCUAUGAGAUGGGCCCGCGGCGCAUUAGCUAGUUGGUGAGGUAACGGCUCACCAAGGCGACGAUGCGUAGCCGACCUGAGAGGGUGAUCGGCCACAUUGGGACUGAGACACGGCCCAGACUCCUACGGGAGGCAGCAGUGGGGAAUAUUGCACAAUGGGGGAAACCCUGAUGCCAGCAACGCCGCGUGAGUGAUGACGGCCUUCGGGUUGUAAAGCUCUGUCUUCAGGGACGAUAAUGACGGUACCUGAGGAGGAAGCCACGGCUAACUACGUGCCAGCCGCGGC